GGGAGGGCCAGCCGAAUGACGGCGGCGGCACCCGAUUCGAAAUCGGACUGCUAGGUAACCACCCCUGGCGUGUGGGUUCGAUCCCCACCCCUUCCG
rnacentral:tRNA from 1 species